CCUACGGGAGGCAGCAGUGGGGAAUAUUGCACAAUGGGGGAAACCCUGAUGCAGCGACGCCGCGUGAGUGAAGAAGUAUUUAGGUAUGUAAAGCUCUAUCAGCAGGGAAGAAAAUGACGGUACCUGACUAAGAAGCCCCUGCUAAAUACGUGCCAGCAGCCUCGGUAAUACGUAGGGGGCAAGCUUUAUCCGGAUUUACUGGGUGUAAAGGGAACGUAGACGGCCAGAUAAGUCAGAAGUGAACGCCUAGGGCUCAACCCUGGGACUGCUUUUGACACUGCCGUGCUGGAGUGCAGUAGAGGUAUGCGGAAUUCCUAUUGGAGCGGUGAAAUGCGUAGAUAUUAGGAAGAACACCAGUGGCGAAGGCGGCUUACUGGACUGUAACUGACGUUGAGGCUCGAAAGCGUGGGGAGCAAACAGGAUUAGAUACCCUUGUAGUC
rnacentral:rRNA from 1 species